GACGUAACAGAUAAACAAACAAAUAUGUAAUUACAUGUUUUAAAGCUAGGUAUUCUUAAUAAUAAAUCUUAAAUUUAAAAACAAAAAAUUUAAUUUAUCAUAUCAAAAAGAUAGGAUCAAUCGGGAGCAACUUACGCGACACCCUCACAGCAGGAACCCUCCAGCAGCCAUUUUGGAUUGCAAGCAGCCGACCACAAUCCCUUGCGUGAAAUUAAAAAACAUGGCGGGUUGUAUUGAAACGGCGAGUGCAUGUGUUUAUGGGAAAUAGAUUCUCCAUUUCUCUAACUUUCUGGCAGUGAUAUAGUAAAUGUACUCUAAAUUAAGAUUUAUACUUUUAAGAACUGUUUGGGGAAGAUAUUGAGUGAUUGCGAUUACAAUUGGUAAUAAAUAUUAUAGGCAGGAUGUUCCUGAAAUCUUUAUUAAGCUGAAUAUAAAGUACAUCAGAAGUUAAUAUUGAAUAUCUUCUAAUUCAUUAGCAAGAUUGUAAAAAAAUGAAGGUAAUAAAGUUGAUUUAAGUUCAUGCUA